rnacentral:lncRNA from 1 species
UGGACUCAGGAGCAAUUCAGUCCCUUCUUUUUUUUUUUUUUUUUUUUUUUUUUUUUUUUUUUUUUUUUUAAUUUCAGACAGAGUUUUGCUCUUGUUGCCCAGGCUGGAGUGCAGUGGCGCCAUCUCGGCUCACCGCAACCUCCACCUCCCAGGUUCAAGUGAUUCUCCUGCCUCGGCCUCCCAAGUGGCUGGGAUUACAGGCAUGUGAAACCCCACCCGGCUAAUUUUGUAGUUUUAGUAGAGACGGGGUUUCUCAAUGUUGGUCAGGCUGCUCUCAAAC